UACGAAGGGGGCUAGCGUUGCUCGGAAUUACUGGGCGUAAAGCGCACGUAGGCGGCUCUUUAAGUCGGGGGUGAAAUCCUGGAGCUCAACUCCAGAACUGCCUUUGAUACUGGCGAUCUCGAGUCCGGGAGAGGUGAGUGGAACUGCGAGUGUAGAGGUGAAAUUCGUAGAUAUUCGCAAGAACACCAGUGGCGAAGGCGGCUCACUGGCCCGGUACUGACGCUGAGGUGCGAAAGCGUGGGGAGCAAACAGG
rnacentral:rRNA from 1 species